ACGUCUUGCGUGUAUAGAUAUAUUAUGUUAUCUGCAGUGCCGGUGACCGGAGAAGGAAGAAAGGACAAGAAGUACACAUAGAACACAGAACCUACACAGCGCAUUGAAGAGAGAAAUGUACCUACAACUAAGCACAUAAUGAAACCUGUCUAAACGAAUGAACCCACAACUAUCGGAUAUUUCUUCUCUAUUGCCUUCUUCGACGUUUGUGAGUCAUAUCAUGUGCGUAAAAAAAAAUUCCAUCGAGUUUUAACUGCCCCUGAAGAGAUAGACACACGGCUGUGACGACUUCAUUUCGUCUGUGUACCAUCGUGAUGACGGUUCACGUUGUACCAGAUUGUCAGGGUAAGGUAUACCUGUAAACCAUAACACGUUGGCUAUUGUGAAUUCCUCGAAACACGAGAAUCAUUCGUCAUGAAGUGAUGUGUCAAACGGAAUUAUUUGAUCUACAGGUAUAGCACCAACCUAGUUUUAGGGACUACUUCCUCCCAGCAGGAUUCGACAAGAUAUACAAUAGAAUAUACAAGUCAUAUCCUUUCCGCUGUUGUCAUGAACUCAAUAGGAUAUUUUCUGCUAAAACAUUCUCACGUCCAAGCAAAGUGGUCGAACCGGAAUGGAUAAUGCGUUGGAGGUAGUCGUUGUUUACGAAAAGAUCGGUCGUUCAUUGAUGAAUACAUCCGAACCCGAGGCUUGUGUAUCCGAUAACUAAGAAAAAAGGUGAUUCCCAUCGUAUGUUUAAAUAAAAACGACAAUGUUUAAAACGACUAAAACCGGAUUUUUGCGUUGUUCUCUGAAACGGCCACAAAGCUCCAUCUAGAAAAAUCAGAGGUUCUAUCAAAAGGUCAAAAUUAUUGAUAGAUGUAUUAAAAACUUAUAUAUACAUGACGCUUAAAAAUUGUCUAAAGGAGUGUGUUGAAAUGACGCAGAUAUACAUGCCCUGAGCAGUAACACAAGAAAUACUACGAAAUUAUUGUUUGUACUCUUUUGACAAUAAUUUGUAUGUUUUCAACAUGCAACAAAUGAAUGACCAGUAAAACUCGACACAGAUUGUGCCAUUAACUACUGUAUUGGUGACCACAAUUGUGAUUACUAUUAUCGAGAUGUGCACGUUUAAAGUGGAAGCAAGGCCAAACACCUCCAGUAGGUUGCUAACAGUGAAGUGUUAGCAAAUUAUAACAUAUUAACCAGUUGUUUGACACUAGAGUAAAAUAAUUUCUGGUGAUAUUCAUAGGUGAAACAAUAGUUUAUUUAAUUAUGGAAAGACAAAUAGACAUCUGACACGUGGCAACAUCUCCUAAUCCGGAAGUUGAAAAAUUGGAUUACAUCUAUGGCCGUUGAUAUCAUUAGCUAUUUUAUAGUGAUACAGUUUAACGUAAAAUACUUCACCGGGGACAGAUAGUGUUGUAUCACGCGAUUUUAACACAAAGAAACAGAAAAUUCUACAGGAUAGACACAUCCGGUCUUUAUUUUUAAAACUACACUGUGCGUAACGUAUCAGUUUUUUUUAAGUUAUGGCGUUUAUAAGUUAGCUUCCAUUUUUUUAAAUUUCUUUGUAGACUACAUGUUUGGUCAAUACUUAUAAUUAAUACAAUAAUUCCAUUUGUUUUUAUCUGCUACAGAACAAAAGGAUUUCAAUGCGAACGUAUCAAGUUCAAUAUAAUUCUCAGUGGAUUCCGAUUAUCAUUACCCAUUUCAGGUAAUAUAAUAGCAUUUGUUGUUAGGCAACACAAUAGCGAAACAACCAGAGUAUUCAUGAAUACAUUAUUAUAACUAUUGCAAGUAAGAAGAUGUGUUGGGUUCUAUGUCUUGUACAUCGAUAAAGGCUAUUGAUCUCAUGGAUCCUCAUAAGAAAUUAACAAAAUUAAAUAAAAACUUAACGGUAAUAUUUAUUCUUGAGGUUGAACGUUCAUUUGAAAGCAUCUGUAAAAUGAUAGCGCCACAACAAUAAUUAUAUUUAAAAUUUAGCGUCAUGUUAUUAUGUUAAUUAUGGAUACAAACAAUCUUUAAUAUGAACUUCGAAAUGUUUAUAUUUUUAUACGGUUAAAUUAAUAAAACGUCAAAAAAAUGAUUCUUGUAUAAGGAUAAUGUCUUUAAAAAAAUUAAAUAUUUAAGUGAGAGUUUCAUGGAUAAUUUAUUGCCCUACAAUCAGAGCUGGAUUAAAAUCCAUAUGGGAAGGGGGCCCAUAAAGUAUAGUAGCGAUAGGCAACCAUAAAAAAAGUGAUGAGCAAAAUAAAAAAACCAGAAAAACUGUUCGUCACUUAUCAUGACAUGCUUGUAAAAUACGAGAUAGGCCCUUUAAUUUAGGUUUGCCUACAAAAGGUCCUUAAUAAAUAAAUAAAAAUUUUUUUUUAUUACUUGUUUAUCUGAAACUCAAGAACAUUAAAGAAAACAAAUUUAAUUUUCAGGAUGUUUUUUUAUUGAGAAAUAUUUUAUUUUAUAUAUUUCAUAUAGGGAAAGUUACUAAAUUUUAACGAUUGGCGUUAGUGACAAUCAGCCAAUGCCUAUUAUGCUAAUUAUGUAACUCGUUGCGGUGAAAUUCGAACUGAACUAUUUAAGUUCAAAUUAUCAAGAAAUGACAUUUGUAUUUAGAAUCGGCAUUUGGUUAUGUUUUAUGUACUGUCAUAUCCUUGGCCUAAUAGUUUUAAUUGAACUGUAAUAGUGCGUGUUUAAGUUCAAUUAAAAUUCCAAACUUUGACAGCGUUUGUGUUGGUUGUGAAAUUCAAGAUGUGUUGUUGACAAUGUAAUAAACUGUGAAAAAAUGUUUUACUAAACAACUCAGCAAAAUAAGCGUACAAGUCGCGUUAAGAAAACCCUUGGAACAACUAUAUAUUUUUAUAUAUGUGCUCUAUGAAAUUGUUUAGGCUAUACAUUGCUUGAUAAUGUGUUACCUCAACGAUUUUACAUGGAAUUUAUUGCAUUAUCUACCUAGU